GAUGAAGAACGCAGCGAAAUGCGUUACGUAAUGUGAAUUGCAGAAUUCAGUGAAUCAUCGAGUCUUUGAACGCACAUUGCGCCCCCUGGUAUUCCGGGGGGCAUGCCUGUCCGAGCGUCAUUGCUGCCCUCAAGCACGGCUUGUGUGUUGGGCCUCCGUCCUCCUCCCGGGGGACGGGCCCGAAAGGCAGCGGCGGCACCGCGUCCGGUCCUCGAGCGUAUGGGGCUUCGUCACCCGCUCUUGUAGGCCCGGCCGGCGCUUGCCGACACAUCAAUCUUUUUUCCAGGUUGACCUCGGAUCAGGUAGGGAUACCCGCUGAACUUAAGCAUAUCAAUAAGCGGAGGA
rnacentral:misc_RNA from 1 species